UACGUAGGGUCCAAGCGUUGUCCGGAUUUACUGGGCGUAAAGAGCGCGUAGGCGGCUCGUUAAGUGUGAAGUGAAAUCUCCAGGGCUCAACCCGGAAACUGCUUACAUACUGGCGAGCUGGAGUGAUGCAGAGGUUUGUGGAAUUCCUGGUGUAACGGUGAAAUGUGUUGAUAUCAGGAGGAACACCGAUGGCGAAGGCAGGUCUCUGGGCCGAUACUGACGCUGAGGAGCGAAAGCGUGGGGAGCGAACAGG
rnacentral:rRNA from 1 species